rnacentral:snRNA from 1 species
AGCUUUGCAGAGGGGCAGAACUAUAGUCAGUGAGGUUUAUCCAAGGUGUGGUUAUUGCUAAUUGGAAACUAGAAAUACAUAAAAUACUAAAACUAUACAUUUUCUUGUACUCCCAUCGUAUCUUGGAGGGAAGAAAUUAUAUAGAUAUAUUUUUGUAUAUCUUUUGUUACGGCUAAUAUGUAAGA